GAAAACAAUCCUCUUCAUCCCGGUAAGGUUAACUUGAUGAAAACCAUAUAUUAAAAAUGUUUCACAUCAAUACGUUAAUAAAUACUACUAUAUGUCAAUGCAAAUUUAUGAAAUUCAUAACUCAUAAUUAAAGAGAGAUAAAAUAGGAAUUCUUUACCUAAAUUUAUCUUAGGCCAGAACCUAUCCACUGUGUACAAAUCAUGCAUUUUAGAGUAUUUUGUAUUUUACGCAUAAUUUGGUAUUUAUGUGCAUACCGUGUACUUUGUAUAGAUAUUUCGCAUCAAUGGUGAAAGAGUGAUUUAAGAGAUAUUUACAUUGUUCCAGAUCAAGGCAAGUUUAUUCCUCCUCUUUCCUUUGAUCACCUUGAAACCUAUGAUUUGGGAGAUGAAAAGCAUUUGUUUCCGAAACUGCAUAUGUAUUUAAGUUAAAAUGAUAUUUGAAACUUAUUAAAUGGUAGCUAUGACCUUAUUGCUGCAUAAUCUUCCUUGAUAUGUUGUUACCCUUUCAUUUGUAACCAUAGUAAUAAUGGGAGUACAUUGGUUGUACUCUAAUGGGACUAAUUAAGUUUUUAUAUGCCAAUUGCUUAGCCAUGCCUAGAACUAUGCAAAUGAAUGAUUUUAUAACUUGAUAAAUGGGAUUAUGAUUAUCUGGGUUAAUGCUGGAUUUAUGAUGGAAAUGUUAAGUAUUUGUGAACUAAAAUGGAGUUAAACUUGUUUUUAGACUUGGGCGGCAAGUGGUGUGCAUAUGGUGGUAGUUGUGCACCGAUAGGGGGAGUGUUCGCCCAGGUUGAUUAAGGACCGAACUUGGUGUCGUUCACUAUUGUUUACCGUACAUCCACAUGUGCUAUUAUGGGGUGGCCUUAGCUAAUUAAGUUACUUAAAAUCUAGCCUUACAUAUUGGUAGGCUGGAGUAGAAUGAAUUAGUCUGAGCGAUGAUUCACAGGAACUACCCAUGUGUGUGUGAUGAUUAUAUUGCUAGCCACUAUUACUAGCUGGGUGUGUUCUGUGAGGGGACGGAUGGUCCGCCUCACAGCAUGGGCGUCUAAGUCUAUCCAAUUCAACGGUAUAGUGCCUCGUGGGGGAACGGAUGUGUUCGCUGCCACGGCGUUAGGUUUAAAGCGUGGGCCCGCUACCUAGCGAUUCUGGGUCAUGCCCAGGAUGGAUUCACACUUGCCAUCGCUGAUGCAAGGUUAGGCGUUAAGUAAUGUAAAGGCUACGUUGUGACCUCUAGACUGCAUUCAAUGUGUAGAAUGUGGUGGUAUCGACGGGUACCGAACAAACUAGAGGGAUUCACGUCAUGUGGGUAAAGCUGUACAAACUCUGCAGAGUUCUCUAAAACUAAUCGAUUAGCCUUGCUCACGGUCAUGAGCGACAUAGUGAAUUGUCAUGGGUAUAGACUUAUGUUUUAUAAAUGUGUGUCGAGCACCAAAAAUUCAUAUAGUCCAGUGAUAUUUGUGGUCACCACAUGAUCUUGGCUGAGUGGGAUCCAUACAUGCAUAAAUAGCCACUCAUAUCUCAAUGUGUUCAUGACCACAACAUAACACCAUUCGAUAUGAACUCUGCGAUGCCGAAUAAUGAGCAAAGGAGAUAUUGCUGGGACUCAGCGUGCCAGUCAACUUCAGCCUGAGACAUACCCGUCAAACCAUUCGAAGAUGGCGACCAGAUGUGUUACACAUCUCAGGAGACUUGACUCAAAUUGCUGAGCUCUACAACAUCUCAAUUGCUCAAAAUUCUUACUCAUGCUUAGCUAGCCCCAAGAAGAUGCUAGCUUCGUACUUUCAUCUAAGCCAUGGUAUUAACUCAAAUACAUGUAAGGUGACUUAGACAUAACUAGAGGCAGAUAACACAGUUACUUACAUAUAGCCAUUCGACUAAUUAGAUAAAGUCCUUCGGAAGCAUGUCUACCCAAAUUCCCCACAAGCAACCGACUAGGGUAAACCCCUUGAUAGGACCAAUCCUGAGAGAAACAACUAUUCCCGCAACACUCAAUUACCUGCAAAAAAAAUGGAUAUUCCAGUCUAACAAGUGUUAGUACAUUAAUCGAGUUAAUGUACUGGCAAACGCACAGUCAAACCUACAUACAUGAAGGCUAGAUUCAAAGAGAGGCUUAUAUGUAGUCGGGGUUUUCAGCAUAAAGCUAAUUUUAGUUCACAAUUCAUUUGCAACGCAAUUUGAACAAAACAUUUCAACAAUUAUGUAAAGCAUAAUAUUCAUGGCAUGAUACCAACAUAAAUAGAUAGUAGCAUUUUAUCACAAUCCAAUCCGAAAAUAGGGCAAUCACAUCACAUAUAUCAAUCUCAUUAUCAUUCCAAAACAUUUAGUUUCAAAGGCAUUUAAGAAAACAUAAAAGUAUACCCACAUCACAUCACUAUGCCGCUCAUGACCGUGAGCACGGCUAAUCGAUUAGUUUUUAUAACUCUGCAGAGCUUGUACAACUUUACCCACAUGGUAUGAACUCUCUAGUUUAUCUUGUGCUGGCCCAGCACUACCACACUCUACAUGUUGAAUGCGGUCUAGAGGUCAUAACGAGGCUUUUACAUUAAGUAUUGUCUAACCUUGUAUGAGCACGAUAAGUGUGAAUCCACCCUAGGCUUAAGUCCUAGAGUCGUUAGGUAGCGGGCCCACACCUUAAACCUAACGCCGUGACGGCGAACACAUCCGUUCCCUCAUGAGGCACGUUAUCGUUGUAUUGGACAGACUUAGACGCCCAUGCUGUGAGACAGAACAUUACACUCGUUCCCCCACGGUAAUCACACCCAGCUAGAAUAUUCGCUAGCAAUAAACACAACACAAUCAUUAACACAUACAUGGGUAGUUCCUAUAGAUAGCCCACAGUACACUCGUGGCCACUACCUCUACUACAACGGCCUCCCGAAUGCAAGGUCAGACAAAUGCUUAACUUAAUAGGCCAAGGUUAUCCCCAUACAUAACACAUGUGGAUGUACGGUAAACAUAAGUGGGUGAUAUGUAGUUCAGUCCUUAAACAACUCAGGCGGACACUCCCCCUAUCGAUAUGCAACUACCACCAUAUGCAUAUCACUUGCCGCCUAAGUCUGAAAUUCACAUUCCUUUUAUUUUAGUUCACAAAUAAGCAGAGAACUCCUCUCUGUUCAUAAUUUCUAAAAUGAUUCAAAUAACAUAAUAAGUGAUCCAUAACCAUGAUUUAUUUAUUACUAAGCAAAGCUAAGCACUUGCAUUUUUACAAAAAGCGUAGGGGUUUCCAUUUGAGUACAAAUAGGGUACUCUAAACCAUUCUAAGGUUACAAACAUCAUGAAUAACAAUUGUCAAGGAGGAUUAUGCAACAAAUAGGUCAUAACUACCAUUUCAUCACUUUCAAAUAAUUUUUCCAAAUAUAACUAUCUAACGCAUGCAAUUUUGCAAUAGAAAACGUUUGCCCAAUAAAACAUAGGAUCAAAGUGUUCAAAGGAGGAGGGCAACACUUGCCUUGAUUGAUGUCCUUACUGGAGUCAGCGAAAGGUUAUAUCUUCUCACCAACAACGUAAUCGUCUUCUAAAAGAAAUAUCGAUAAUCGGGUAAAUACCGAAACAUACAAAUAUUCAAAAUGUUCUAAAAUGCAUGAAUUCACUAGUGUGGUUAGAUGCUGUGGGUUUAUAAUUUGUGGUGAAGGAAAUUCUAUUUUAUCAUAUUGCAUUUGUGAGUUAUAAAUUCUUAAAGUCUAAAACUAGAAAUAACUUAAUUAGGCUCUAUUUAGCUCUAAGUGCAUUUUGGGUUCAAGAUUGGCAAAGCCUUAGGUUUCUGCAGCAGAGAGUAAUUUCUCCAAAGCUUAACAAAAUUUAGUUCACAAUAUUUAAAGCUAGCAUGAAUUUAUUAUGAAUUUAACAAUUUAAAUGACAUAUUAUAAGUCUUACUUAUUAUACAACUUUUAAAUAUGUUUUUGGUACUAUAUGUACUACAUUUAAAUUUAUGAAAACUAAGUCUAUGAGAUUUAUAACCCAACCCAUCUGGAAUUAUAUUAUUUGGAGUUAGAAUGAAUUUUGUAUGAAUUUUAUAAAUUAGUGAAUGCUAUAUAUUAAGUAUUCCAUAUAUUAAUUUUUAAAGACAUUUCUUCUACUGUAGGCAACAUGUUUUAUCUUACCAAAUUAAAGUUUACAAUUUUGUGAAUCCAUAGAAAUUUAGUUCACCUCAAAUGGAGUUAAAAUGAAUUUUAUAUGCAUUUUACAAGUUUCACUCAUUUUCCUGUUGAAAAAUUAUUGUUUUGGAUAUUUCCUUUAAUAUUUCCAAUUUUUAAAGAUAAUGGGUCCACUAGUCAGCCUCUGUACUUUUGCAGAAAAGUCCCUGGGUUUCCAAGGAUUCAACCCGAAGUCCCCAGCACAUGUCUAAAUACAUUUUCAUUAAGAGUUCUCAAAUUUCUGAUUAAUUGCUAGUAGGUCCUUGGUCCCACAUGUCAUAGGUUAUACAAUUACACAUUAGUACAGAAGGUUUUGUCUUCCUUACAAAUUAUACCUCGGCUACUUAUAUGCAGUGGGGCCCGCAGGUCAGUGGCUUAGUGAGAGAGAGACCGGAGGCAGCGGCUGAAGGCGGCGACCGACGAGCUUGUCGUCGACGCCGGCGGCAAACAGCGGGUUUUCGCGAGGUGCGACCCAGAGAGAAGAGGUGGAGGAGGGGCUGGCGAUCCCGUCGGUGGUCAUGUUGUUGGCUGUGGUGGUCGGAGUCGACGCCGGCGACGUUGUGAGUGGCGGAGUGCUUCGGCAUGCUAAGGCAUCUCGGUCUCUAGCUCAAUUCAGUGGGGUUUCAUGCAUGCAUUCGCACCUACGGAGAUCGUGGUUGCUUACUUGAGGUCGCGCUGGGCUCGGCGAGGCUUGGACAGCAGUGGUGACGCGAAGACAACUCCGGCGGCGGCGGAAUCGGGCAGGGCGACGGUGACAGCGAAGAGCGGCCAACCUCCUGCCAAAGUGACACAUGCGCAAGGUUAGAGAUGCCCUAGGGAUGCUACCCACGAGAGGAAUUGAGCCGGAACUCACCCGAGGACGAGAAAUCGACGGCGAUGGCCAGCGGCCGGACUUGGAGAAGACGAAAAGGUUCUCUUCAACGGCAGUGACUUAGCUUGAGUUCACUUGGGCGUCUUGCGCCUGGGAUCUAGACGACUGCCCUGGCGCAGUGGCUCAGCUAGGGUUUCACCGGGUCGACGGGAACGGCGAUGCGAACUGUGGCUGCGCUCUGGACACCGAGGACGCCGAUGAGUUUAGCACAUGGUGGAUAGGGGAAAGCUACCGAGGGUUUAGGCGUGGAUAGGGGAUCGUGUUCCCACGGUUGGUCCGCGGUGAAGCUCACCAGAGAAAGAUGGCGACAGUGGUGGAUCCCGACGGCGUCGGAGAAGAUGGAUUCGCUCCCGGAGCUCCCGAGACGAUCUCGCUAGGGUUUUGGGAGGAACGCGGCGAGGAUGAAAGGCUUCGUCGGUGGGCAA
rnacentral:lncRNA from 1 species